CACCUAUUUUGGCUUCUCCGCAUCGCUUUCUCGGCGAGGGGUGUCUCAUCUGCUCCUAGGUCUGCAAAAUAUGCCUCUGAUCCCUCUCCGGAUCUCUCGGCGAAUUGAUUUCCUCGCCUUUUGCAGAUUCAUUAUGAUCUAGUUCAAUCAAAUUCAGUCAUCAGUUGGCUAGAGCACUGAACAUCCUCGCAUUUCUGGAAAUCACUUCCUCAGCCAAAGAAGUAUGCCGAUGCGAAAUAUCUGGAAAAUUGCUGCAGAAAGUGUAUCAGUCAAACUAGUAUCACGUGUUCAUCGGAUCUGAAGGUUGCUGUGAUAACUAAACCAGAAAGGCAUAAAUGCAACGUGAGGAAAAUAUACAACCAUCCUUCUGAUCCUGUGGUGAAGUGACAAACACACUGUUUGAUGCUCCACAACAGAACACAGCAGCAGUGGGUCUAAGAAUGCAGUAAUUGAUGACAAUUUUGCAUCAAACUGUAAAUAUUACAAGAUAUCUGUAAUGGAAAUUAAGCUUGAUAGAUGAUCAGGGUCCAAAUUAGUGACAAGUUUUAAAGAUUCUGAAUUAAGCUUGAUAGAUGAAGUUUCCUUUCAGAUUCUGAAACAUUUACAGAGAACGGCUUGCAGAAAAUAAGGUUGCCAAGCUAUAUGGCAACUACUGAAUUAGCUCAGGCACAGCUUAAGAGCUUAAGAGAACAAGUUUUUUUACCAACGUUGGGAUCCUAUCAAACUGAAAGAAACAGUAUCAUCAGUCAGCAUUUUCUGCUUUCUUCUGUGAAUGGAAAACACUUACAAUAUUCUCUCACAUACAAGCUGAACCAAGCAAGCCGCAAUGGUGGGAUAAGAAAUGCCAGAUUCUUCUUAUCAGAAAGAGAUGGUAGUGGUAUGACCUUCUUAUCAUUUUGCUUAGAUAUAUUUUGAUAUGAAUUUUCUUGUGUAGGUGUUGAGUUUCCUGAAAUUUUUAUCCUUAUAAAUUGAUUUUUUGUGUCUUCGUGAGUUGCAUGGCGACGAAUCUUAAGGGCCCAUUUGGAUAGGGCUAGAUCCCGUCGGGCUGCGGAGAAAAACCACACGGUCUGGAUUGGCUGUUUGGGUGGAUGGAAGGCCCAGUCCCAGCAGCUGGAAGUAAAAUACCUGAUGGGAAGGCCCAAUCUUUGUUUUAUGUUUUUCUCCUGUGCUUCCGAGGGAUGGAAGCUGGAGAUGAUGCCCUUCAUCUCUUCCUUGGACCUGCUCCAUCCAUUAAGUAUCACAUUUCCGACAUACUUGAUCAUUGUCAUCCCUCCAUCCGCUUUCCCACUAUGGUGCGAGGUUCUUAUCAGAGCACUGUACGUGGAGGCUUUGGGAGUGGAAAGUGGAAACAUGAGAUUCGUUUUGCACGCCUGCUCUUAAUUGUGUUUCCAAUCCAUACUGGAGGUAGAAAUGCAUCCCUUAAAUGCAAAAUAGAUUUUGUGCUAUCUAAACCCGUUGCUACUAGUAUCUAAUCCCCCAUACUCUUCUUGACAGGAAAAGAAAUCUUGAUUGGUUAGUGACAGUUUAAUAAUGUUUUUUUACCUGCUGGUCGUCCAUAUCUAUCGAGUUCCACAAAUAUAUAUGAAAUAUGUGAAAUGCAACAUUGGCUUGGAUGUUUAUGGUUCUUUUCUUUUAUUUGUCAAAGUUACAGAGAAAGCAAUUCAAAUGGAAUGGAGGCAGCGAUAUUCUCAGAAUGUGACUUAAAGUUUUCCACAGAGCAAUAUUUUGUCUGUUGGCUACAGUCUCACUCUUCACUUUUUGUGUUGAGGUGCACAGUUAUGCCGUGAUCCUUAUCCCACUUGAUUAUUGCUGGUGUGUGCCAUCCUACUGUAUUUUCUUUUUUCUUACGCUGGAGGACAUGAUAUUGCCGGUACGCACAUCUUCAGUUCCUUUUUUUAGUCUGGCAUGGUUUAUGCAAUAGAGCUGUGCACCAGUCCUCCUCGAAACAUCAAACAUUGCAUUCUCCCAUCAUUCACAAACAUCUGGUCUCUUUUCCACUUUAUUUUGUGCUGAUCCUUUUGCAGACUAGUCUGGUGGUGUGAUUUCUGGAAGAGAUUCUUAUCAGAUGCUUUUUCAGAAGAUGUAUCUCCUGGAGACCCGAAGCUGACUGCCUUAAUGAGACCACUCUUCACGCUACCUAUACGAUCACAUCACCGGUCAAAGGUACGUACCUCAUUUUAUUUUACGCACUGCACUCAUUAUAAUUGGUUCGAUAAAAAGUUCUUAUUUAUUCACACCAGCUUAUCUUUGAUUCGAGUUUUAUGUAAAGUUUCGAUCCUUAAUUAUGAGUGCAUUAAUCAUAUUGAAGUCGAGCUAUAGGUUUUCUUAAGAUGUACCGAGUGCAGGAAAUUUAAGCGUCGAAGCCAUCGACGGUGUGAUUAUUGAGUGGUUCUCGGACGUGUACGUAUCACUUCACUUUUACUUGGAGUGUUCAAUGAUCAAUCAUGAUCGGGACCCACAAAUGGGACAGGAAUUGGACCAGUCACCUUAUCCCAUUUCGUGACGUUGCGGCAAGCCAAGGGGAUGAUUCGUGGGCGUGUAAAGCGGUUGCUAUUGGAUCAAGUGGCGGUGGGAUAUGUGCUUGCGUGGCGAGCUUGGCUACGAGUGCCGUGGAUGAACAAACCGCAACACAUGUAUGGUACAAUAUCACCAAAUAAUAGAAGCCAUGGUGAAAUGGUGCAAAUGGAAAGAGGAGCAGGAGAAGCACCACAUGAAGCAGGAAAGUAAAGCAAAGGUAAACCAAGAUGGGAGUAAAUACAUAGAAAUGGA